AGUGCAUGUGGUGGAUGCCUUGGCAGUCAGAGGCGAUGAAAGACGUGAUAGCCUGCGAAAAGCUCCGGGGAGGCGGCAAAUAUCCUUUGAUCCGGAGAUGUCUGAAUGGGGGAACCCACCUACUUUAAGGUAGGUAUUGCAACAUGAAUACAUAGUGUUGCAAGGCGAACGAGGGGAAGUGAAACAUCUCAGUACCCUUAGGAAAAGAAAUCAAUUGAGAUUCCCUCAGUAGCGGCGAGCGAACGGGGAUCAGCCCAUUAAGUUAUGUGUGUUUUAGUGGAACGCUCUGGGAAGUGCGAACGUAGAGGGUGAUAUUCCCGUACACGAAAGGGCACACAUAAUGAUGACGAGUAGGGCGAGGCACGUGAAACCUUGUCUGAAUAUGGGGGGACCAUCCUCCAAGGCUAAAUACUCCUGACUGACCGAUAGUGAACCAGUACCGUGAGGGAAAGGCGAAAAGAACCCCUGUGAGGGGAGUGAAAUAGAUCCUGAAACCGCAUGCAUACAAGCAGUGGGAGCACCUUUGUGGUGUGACUGCGUACCUUUUGUAUAAUGGGUCAGCGACUUAUAUUCAGUAGCGAGGUUAACCGUAUAGGGGAGCCGUAGAGAAAUCGAGUCUUAAUAGGGCGUUUAGUUGCUGGGUAUAGACCCGAAACCAGGCGAUCUAUCCAUGAGCAGGUUGAAGGUUGGGUAACACUAACUGGAGGACCGAACCCACUGUCGUUGAAAAGCCAGGGGAUGACUUGUGGAUAGGGGUGAAAGGCUAAUCAAGCCUGGUGAUAGCUGGUUCUCCCCGAAAGCUAUUUAGGUAGCGCCUCGGACGAAUACCAUAGGGGGUAGAGCACUGUUUCGGCUAGGGGGUCAUCCCGACUUACCAAACCGAUGCAAACUCCGAAUACCUAUGAGUACUAUCCGGGAGACAGACUGCGGGUGCUAACGUCCGUAGUCAAGAGGAAAACAAUCCAGACCGCCAGCUAAGGCCCCAAAAUCAUAGUUAAGUGGGAAACGAUGUGGGAAGGCAUAGACAGCUAGGAGGUUGGCUUAGAAGCAGCCACCCUUUAAAGAAAGCGUAAUAGCUCACUAGUCGAGUCGGCCUGCGCGGAAGAUGUAACGGGGCUAAAACUAUGUGCCGAAGCUGCGGAUGUAUACUUUGUAUACGUGGUAGGGGAGCGUUCUGUAAGCCGAUGAAGGUGUGUUGAGAAGCAUGCUGGAGGUAUCAGAAGUGCGAAUGCUGACGUGAGUAACGACAAAACGGGUGAAAAACCCGUUCGCCGAAAGACCAAGGGUUCCAGUCCAACGUUAAUCGGGGCUGGGUGAGUCGACCCCUAAGGCGAGGCCGAAAGGCGUAGUCGAUGGGAAAAUGGUUAAUAUUCCAUUACUUCUGUGUAAUGCGAUGAGAGGACGGAGAAGGCUAAAUCAGCCUGGCGUUGGUUGUCCAGGUGAAAGGAUGUAGGCAUGUAUCUUAGGCAAAUCCGGGGUACUCUAUGCUGAGAUCUGAUAGCAAGCUGUACUUGUACAGCGAAGUGGUUGAUGCCAUGCUUCCAGGAAAAGUCUCUAAGCUUCAGUUACACAGGAAUCGUACCCGAAACCGACACAGGUGGUCAGGUCGAGUAGACCAAGGCGCUUGAGAGAACUCUGCUGAAGGAACUAGGCAAAAUGGUACCGUAACUUCGGGAGAAGGUACGCUGUUGUUGGUGAUGGAACUCGCUUCCUGAGCUGACGACAGCCGCAGAAACCAGGCCGCUGCAACUGUUUAUUAAAAACAUAGCACUCUGCAAACACGAAAGUGGACGUAUAGGGUGUGAUGCCUGCCCGGUGCUGGAAGGUUAAUUGAUGGGGUUAGCGUAAGCGAAGCUCUUGAUCGAAGCCCCAGUAAACGGCGGCCGUAACUAUAACGGUCCUAAGGUAGCGAAAUUCCUUGUCGGGUAAGUUCCGACCUGCACGAAUGGCAUAAUGAUGGCGGCGCUGUCUCCAGCAGAGGCUCAGUGAAAUCGAAAUCGCUGUGAAGAUGCAGUGUACCCGCGGCUAGACGGAAAGACCCCGUGAACCUUUACUGCAGCUUGACACUGAACUUUGACCUUACUUGUGUAGGAUAGGUGGGAGGCUUUGAAGCUGGAACGCUAGUUCCAGUGGAGCCGUCCUUGAAAUACCACCCUGGUAAUGUUGAGGUUCUAACUCUGUCCCGUGAUCCGGGACGAGGACCGUGUCUGGUGGGUAGUUUGACUGGGGCGGUCUCCUCCUAAAGAGUAACGGAGGAGUACGAAGGUGCGCUCAGCGUGGUCGGAAAUCACGCGUAGAGUAUAAAGGCAAAAGCGCGCUUAACUGCGAGACCCACAAGUCGAGCAGGUACGAAAGUAGGUCUUAGUGAUCCGGUGGUUCUGUAUGGAAGGGCCAUCGCUCAACGGAUAAAAGGUACUCUGGGGAUAACAGGCUGAUACCGCCCAAGAGUUCAUAUCGACGGCGGUGUUUGGCACCUCGAUGUCGGCUCAUCUCAUCCUGGGGCUGAAGCAGGUCCCAAGGGUAUGGCUGUUCGCCAUUUAAAGAGGUACGCGAGCUGGGUUUAGAACGUCGUGAGACAGUUCGGUCCCUAUCUACCGUGGGCGCUGGAAAUUUGAGAGGAUCUGCUCCUAGUACGAGAGGACCAGAGUGGACGAACCUCUGGUGUACCGGUUGUGACGCCAGUCGCAUCGCCGGGUAGCUAUGUUCGGAAGGGAUAACCGCUGAAAGCAUCUAAGCGGGAAGCCUACCUCAAGAUAAGAUUUCCCUAGGACUUUAUGUCCUCUAAAGAGCCGUUCGAGACUAGGACGUUGAUAGGUUGGAUGUGGAAGCAUAGUGAUAUGUGAAGCUGACCAAUACUAAUUGCUCGUGAGGCUUGACU
rnacentral:rRNA from 2 species